rnacentral:rRNA from 1 species
CCUACGGGCGGCAGCAGUGGGGAAUAUUGGACAAUGGGCGAAAGCCUGAUCCAGCCAUGCCGCGUGUGUGAAGAAGGCCUUCGGGUUGUAAAGCACUUUCAGUGGGGAAGAAAGCCUUGGGGCUAAUACCCUCGAGGAAGGACAUCACCCACAGAAGAAGCACCGGCUAACUCCGUGCCAGCAGCCGCGGUAAUACGGAGGGUGCGAGCGUUAAUCGGAAUUACUGGGCGUAAAGCGCGCGUAGGCGGUCUGAUAAGCCGGUUGUGAAAGCCCCGGGCUCAACCUGGGAACGGCAUCCGGAACUGUCAGGCUAGAGUGCAGGAGAGGAAGGUAGAAUUCCCGGUGUAGCGGUGAAAUGCGUAGAGAUCGGGAGGAAUACCAGUGGCGAAGGCGGCCUUCUGGACUGACACUGACGCUGAGGUGCGAAAGCGUGGGUAGCAAACAGGAUUAGAUACCCUUGUAAUC